rnacentral:rRNA from 1 species
UACAGAGGGGGCAAGCGUUGUUCGGAAUUACUGGGCGUAAAGGGCGCGUAGGCGGCCUUCUAAGUCGAACGUGAAAUCCCCGGGCUCAACCCGGGAACUGCGUCCGAUACUGGAAGGCUUGAAUCCGGGGAGAGGGAUGCGGAAUUCCAGGUGUAGCGGUGAAAUGCGUAGAUAUCUGGAGGAACACCGGUGGCGAAGGCGGCAUCCUGGACCGGCAUUGACGCUGAGGCGCGAAAGCCAGGGGAGCAAACGGG